rnacentral:ncRNA from 2 species
AAUAAAGUAGGAAGGCGAUGAGUGGUUACCUGUAUAUGGGCACUUUGGUAAUCAGGAGCAAGUAGUGCAACCGGCCGACUUCAUU